rnacentral:rRNA from 1 species
CCUACGGGGCGCAGCAGUGGGGAAUAUUGGACAAUGGGCGAAAGCCUGAUCCAGCCAUGCCGCGUGUGUGAAGAAGGCCUUCGGGUUGUAAAGCACUUUCAGUGGGGAAGAAAGCCUUGGGGCUAAUACCCUCGAGGAAGGACAUCACCCACAGAAGAAGCACCGGCUAACUCCGUGCCAGCAGCCGCGGUAAUACGGAGGGUGCGAGCGUUAAUCGGAAUUACUGGGCGUAAAGCGCGCGUAGGCGGUCUGAUAAGCCGGUUGUGAAAGCCCCGGGCUCAACCUGGGAACGGCAUCCGGAACUGUCAGGCUAGAGUGCAGGAGAGGAAGGUAGAAUUCCCGGUGUAGCGGUGAAAUGCGUAGAGCUCGGGAGGAAUACCAGUGGCGAAGGCGGCCUUCUGGACUGACACUGACGCUGAGGUGCGAAAGCGUGGGUAGCAAACAGGAUUAGAUACCCGAGUAGUC